GGGAAAUAUAUCCUGAGCACAGGUGAGACUCACUGCUACCUCUAGGUCGAGAUGAGAUUUCUGUCGUGCAUUAAGCUAAUUUGGAUUGUGAAUGAAUACAAGUCCAGGAAGUCGAUUCUGAGACCCGAUACCCUGCGAGGGGAGUGCAGGAUAAGCAGGAGACAUUAAUUAGCGCUGCCUUAAGCAGUUUUACCGACGCAGGCGGGACUGUGGUGGAGCACUGGAGAUGCUGCGAGCCCUGAGCUGCCUUCACAGCCUUGUUGGGUGUGCUGCUGGAUCACACUGCAUGAG
rnacentral:lncRNA from 1 species